GCGACACUAGCUCAGUUGGCAGAGCGCAACCUUGCCAAGGUUGAGGUCACGAGUUCGAACCUCGUGUGUCGCUCCA
rnacentral:tRNA from 3 species